CCUACGGGUGGCUGCAGUAAGGAAUAUUGGACAAUGGACGGAAGUCUGAUCCAGCCAUGCCGCGUGCAGGAAGACUGCCCUAUGGGUUGUAAACUGCUUUUAUCAGGGAAGAAAAACCAAUACGUGUAUUGGGUUGCCGGUACCUGAGGAAUAAGCACCGGCUAACUCCGUGCCAGCAGCCGCGGUAAUACGGAGGGUGCGAGCGUUAUCCGGAAUUACUGGGUUUAAAGGGUGCGUAGGCGGCUUAAUAAGUCAGAGGUGAAAGGUGGCAGCUUAACUGUCAAAUUGCCUUUGAAACUGUUGAGCUUGAAUCAAGAUGAGGUUGGCGGAAUGUGACAUGUAGCGGAGAAAUGCAUAGAUAUGUCACGGAACACCGAAUGCGAAGGCAGCUGACUGGACUUCGAUUGACGCUGAGGCACGAAAGCGUGGGGAGCGAACAGGAUUAGAUACCCUAGUAGUC
rnacentral:rRNA from 1 species